CUCAGAUCAUGUAAGAUUUUAAUGAUCGAACAGAUCAAAAUUUUAAACUUUUGCAUUUAAAUUUUAUCUUAAUCCAACAUCGAGGUCGCAAACUUUUUUUUUUAUUUGAACUAAAAAAAAAUAUUACGCUGUUAUCCCUAAGGUAAUUUUUUCUUAUAAUCAUUAUUUAUGGAUCAUUUAAUCAUUUAUUUAUGUUUAUUUUUUAAAAAAAGUUAAUUUAAUUUUUCUAUCACCCCAAUAUAAUAAUUAAUUUUAUCUUAAUAAAAAUUUUUAUAUAAUUUUAAAAUAAAAAUAAAUAUAAAACUCUAUAGGGUCUUCUCGUCUUUUAAAAUUAAUUUAGCUUUUUAACUAAAAAAUAAACUUCUAAAAAUAAAUAAGAGACAGUUUAUAUUUCAUCAAAUCUUUCAUACAAGUUUCCAAUUAAAAAACUAUUGAUUAUGCUACCUUUGUACAGUCAUUAUACUGCAGCCCUUUAAUAUUUAUCAGUGGGCAGAUUAGACUUUAAAUUAUACCCAAAAAGACAUGUUUUU
rnacentral:rRNA from 1 species